UACGAAGGGUGCAAGCGUUACUCGGAAUUACUGGGCGUAAAGCGUGCGUAGGUGGUUUGUUAAGUCUGAUGUGAAAGCCCUGGGCUCAACCUGGGAAUGGCAUUGGAUACUGGCGAGCUAGAGUGCGGUAGAGGGUAGUGGAAUUCCCGGUGUAGCAGUGAAAUGCGUAGAGAUCGGGAGGAACAUCUGUGGCGAAGGCGACUACCUGGACCAGCACUGACACUGAGGUGCGAAAGCGUGGGGAGCAAACAGG
rnacentral:rRNA from 1 species